rnacentral:rRNA from 1 species
GACGAACGCUGGCGGCGGGCUUAACACAUGCAAGUCGAACGGUGAAGCGCCUUCCUUUUUGGUGGGGGUGGAUGAGUGGCGAACGGGUGAGUAACACGUGAGUAACCUGCCCCCUUCUUCUGGAUAACCGCAUGAAAGUGUGGCUAAUACGGGGUAUUCUGGGUCUGUCGCAUGAUGGGUCUGGGGAAGGUAUUUGUUCGGUGGGGGAUGGGCUCGCGGCCUAUCAGCUUGUUGGUGGGGUGAUGGCCUACCAAGGCGGUGACGGGUAGCCGGCCUGAGAGGGUGGACGGUCACACUGGGACUGAGACACGGCCCAGACUCCUACGGGAGGCAGCAGUGGGGAAUAUUGCACAAUGGGCGCAAGCCUGAUGCAGCGACGCCGCGUGAGGGAUGGAGGCCUUCGGGUUGUGAACCUCUUUCGCCAGUGAAGCAGGCCUGCCUCGUUUGUGGGUGGGUUGACGGUAGCUGGAGAAGAAGCGCCGGCUAACUACGUG